rnacentral:rRNA from 1 species
AAACCAACAGGGAUUGCCCCAGUAGCGGCGAGUGAAGCGGCAAGAGCUCAGAUUUGAAAUCGUGUUUCGGCACGAGUUGUAGAGUGUAGGUGGGAGUCUCUGUGGAGCGCGGUGUCCAAGUCCCUUGGAACAGGGUGCCUGAGAGGGUGAGAGCCCCGUAGGGUGCUGCGCGAAGCUUUUGAGGCCCUGCUGACGAGUCGAGUUGUUUGGGAAUGCAGCUCCAAGCGGGUGGUAAAUUCCAUCUAAGGCUAAAUAUUGGCGAGAGACCGAUAGCGAACAAGUACUGUGAAGGAAAGAUGAAAAGCACUUUGAAAAGAGAGUGAAACAGCACGUGAAAUUGUUGAAAGGGAAGGGUAUUGGGCUCGACAUGGGGGGUGCGCACCGCUGUCUCUUGUAGGCGGCGCUCUGGGCGCCCUCUGGGCCAGCAUCGGUUCCUGCUGCGGGAGAAGGGGCUCCGGAAAGUGGCUCUUCGGAGUGUUAUAGCCGGGGCCAGAUGCCGCGUGUGGGGACCGAGGACUGCGGCUCUG